UACGAAGGGGGCUAGCGUUGUUCGGAAUUACUGGGCGUAAAGCGCGCGCAGGCGGUUUUUCAAGUCAGUGGUGAAAGCCCGGAGCUCAACUCCGGAACUGCCAUUGAAACUGUGAAACUUGAGGAUGAGAGAGGUGAGUGGAAUUCCCAGUGUAGAGGUGAAAUGCGUAGAGAUCCGGAGGAACACCAGUGGCGAAGGCGACACGCUGGGCCGUACCUGACACUGAACCGCGACAGCAUGGGGAGCAAACAGG
rnacentral:rRNA from 1 species